GACGAACGCUGGCGGCGUGUCUAAUACAUGCAAGUAGAACGCAGUUUCGAACGGGUGAGUAACGCGUAGGGAACUGCCUCAUCGCGGGGGAUAACUAUUGGAAACGAUAGCUAAUAUCGCAUACUGUGAGAUGGACCUGCGUUGUAUUAGCUAGUUGGUGAGGUAAAGGCUCACCAAGGCGACGAUACAUAGCCGACCUGAGAGGGUUGUCGGCGACACUGGAACGGGGACAAGGCCCAGACUCCUACGGGAGGUAGCAGAAGGGAAUCUGCGGCAAUGGACGGAAGUCUGGACGAGCAGCGCCGCGUGCGUUACGUGGGUUUUCGGAUCGUAAAGGUCGGUAGUUAGAGAAGCGGUAACUAACGAGAAAGGGACGGCUAACUACGUGCCAGCAGCCGCGGUAAUUC
rnacentral:rRNA from 1 species